ACGCUGGCGGCGUGCCUAAUACAUGCAAGUCGAACGCCUUGUGGUUUUAAUGAAUAGCGUGCUUGCACAAUAUGAUUUAAAACAAUGCAAGGAGUGGCGAACGGGUGAGUAACACGUGGGAAACCUACCUCUUAGCAGGGGAUAACAUUUGGAAACAGAUGCUAAUACCGUAUAACACUAAAAACCGCAUGGUUUUUAUUUGAAAGAUGGUUCUGCUAUCACUAAGAGAUGGUCCCGCGGUGCAUUAGUUAGAUGGUGAGGUAAUGGCUCACCAUGACGAUGAUGCAUAGCCGAGUUGAGAGACUGAUCGGCCACAAUGGGACUGAGACACGGCCCAUACUCCUACGGGAGGCAGCAGUAGGGAAUCUUCCACAAUGGGCGCAAGCCUGAUGGAGCAACGCCGCGUGUGUGAUGAAGGGUUUCGGCUCGUAAAGCACUGUUGUAAGAGAAGAAUGUACUUGAGAGUAACUGUUCAAGUAGUGACGGUAUCUUACCAGAAAGGGACGGCUAAAUACGUGCCAGCAGCCGCGGUAAUACGUAUGUCCCAAGCGUUAUCCGGAUUUAUUGGGCGUAAAGCGAGCGCAGACGGUUAUUUAAGUCUGAAGUGAAAGCCCUCAGCUCAACUGAGGAAUUGCUUUGGAAACUGGAUGACUUGAGUGCAGUAGAGGAAAGUGGAACUCCAUGUGUAGCGGUGAAAUGCGUAGAUAUAUGGAAGAACACCAGUGGCGAAGGCGGCUUUCUGGACUGUAACUGACGUUGAGGCUCGAAAGUGUGGGUAGCAAAC
rnacentral:rRNA from 1 species